ensembl:antisense Gm16120 predicted gene 16120
AUCUCUACAGGAUGCUGUAAUACCCCAAUGUGAUGACCUUUCCUCUGUACUCUCAAACAGGCUACUGCAGUCACCUCUAUGGGAAUUAAGGAAAAGUCAUAUCUAUCACCAACACUUCAGAAGAAGAAGGCUGUCUCACCAUCCUCACUUCUGGCCAUAAAACAUCUCCCUUAAUUUUGUCCCAUGUUAAAGUUCCAUCACACCAAUGAGAAUAUCAAGUAACAUCACACAAUACAGAAAACAACAUGGAGUCAGAAGAAGCAAACACAACCCCAGCCCACCCCACCCCUACUCCAUCAAUCAGCUCUGGGGUUAGAGAGAGCUGCCACAGGAAGACAGCUGCAGAAGAUGAGCCGGAUGGAGCUCACCACAGCCUCUCCUUGCCCUUCCAGCCUUCGGGAUAAUAACAGACAGGUUUCUGAGGAGUGUAAGCUGACAAGAUUAAUGCAGAUU